GACGGGUGAGUAACACGUGGGUAACCUGCCUGUAAGACUGGGAUAACUCCGGGAAACCGGAGCUAAUACCGGAUAGUUCCUUGAACCGCAUGGUUCAAGGAUGAAAGACGGUUUCGGCUGUCACUUACAGAUGGACCCGCGGCGCAUUAGCUAGUUGGUGGGGUAAUGGCUCACCAAGGCGACGAUGCGUAGCCGACCUGAGAGGGUGAUCGGCCACACUGGGACUGAGACACGGCCCAGACUCCUACGGGAGGCAGCAGUAGGGAAUCUUCCGCAAUGGACGAAAGUCUGACGGAGCAACGCCGCGUGAGUGAUGAAGGUUUUCGGAUCGUAAAGCUCUGUUGUUAGGGAAGAACAAGUGCGAGAGUAACUGCUCGCACCUUGACGGUACCUAACCAGAAAGCCACGGCUAACUACGUGCCAGCAGCCGCGGUAAUACGUAGGUGGCAAGCGUUGUCCGGAAUUAUUGGGCGUAAAGGGCUCGCAGGCGGUUUCUUAAGUCUGAUGUGAAAGCCCCCGGCUCAACCGGGGAGGGUCAUUGGAAACUGGGAAACUUGAGUGCAGAAGAGGAGAGUGGAAUUCCACGUGUAGCGGUGAAAUGCGUAGAGAUGUGGAGGAACACCAGUGGCGAAGGCGACUCUCUGGUCUGUAACUGACGCUGAGGAGCGAAAGCGUGGGGAGCGAACAGGAUAGAUACCCUGGUAGUCCACGCCGUAACGAUGAGUGCUAAGUGUUAGGGGGUUUCCGCCCCUUAGUGCUGCAGCUAACGCAUUAAGCACUCCGCCUGGGGAGUACGGUCGCAAGACUGAAACUCAAAGGAAUUGACGGGGGCCCGCACAAGCGGUGGAGCAUGUGGUUUAAUUCGAAGCAACGCGAAGAACCUUACCAGGUCUUGACAUCCUCUGACAACCCUAGAGAUAGGGCUUUCCCUUCGGGGACAGAGUGACAGGUGGUGCAUGGUUGUCGUCAGCUCCGUGUCGUGAGAUGUUGGGUUAAGUCCCGCAACGAGCGCAACCCUUGAUCUUAGUUGCCAGCAUUCAGUUGGGCACUCUAAGGUGACUGCCGGUGACAAACCGGAGGAAGGUGGGGAUGACGUCAAAUCAUCAUGCCCCUUAUGACCUGGGCUACACACGUGCUACAAUGGACAGAACAAAGGGCUGCAAGACCGCAAGGUUUAGCCAAUCCCAUAAAUCUGUUCUCAGUUCGGAUCGCAGUCUGCAACUCGACUGCGUGAAGCUGGAAUCGCUAGUAAUCGCGGA
rnacentral:rRNA from 1 species